GAUGAACGCUGGCGGCGUGCUUAACACAUGCAAGUCGAACGGAAAGGCUCCUGCUUGCAGGGGUACUCGAGUGGCGAACGGGUGAGUAACACGUGGGUGAUCUGCCCUGCACUUCGGGAUAAGCUUGGGAAACUGGGUCUAAUACCGGAUAGGACGUUGGUCUGGAUGCUAUUGUGGAAAGUUUUUCGGUGUGGGAUGAGCUCGCGGCCUAUCAGCUUGUUGGUGGGGUAAUGGUCUACCAAGGCGUCGACGGGUAGCCGGCCUGAGAGGGUGUACGGACACAGUGGGACUGAGAUACGGCCCAGACUCCUACGGGAGGCAGCAGUGGGGAAUAUUGCACAAUGGGCGGAAGCCUGAUGCAGCAACGCCGCGUGGGGGAUGACGGCCUUCGGGUUGUAAACUCCUUUCGCUAGGAACGAAGCGCAAGUGACGGUAACGGGAGAAGAAGCACCGGCUAACUACGUG
rnacentral:rRNA from 1 species